GAUCAACGCUGGCGGCGUGCAUAACACAUGCAAGUCGAACGAAGUGGCGAACGGGUGAGUAACACGUGAGUAACCUGCCUUACACAAGGGGAUAGCCUUUGGAAACGAAGAAUAAUACCCUAUAGUGUAAGCGUGAGUUGCGUCUGAUUAGAUAGUUGGUGAGAUAAAGGCACACCAAGGCAACGAUCAGUAGCCGGCGUGAGAGCGUGUACGGCCAAAUUGGGAAUGAGACACGGCACAAACUCUACGGGAGGCAGCAGUGGGGAAGUUGGCACAAUGGGGGAAACCCUGAUGCAGCGAAGCCGCGUGAUUUAGAAGGCAGUCGGGGGGUAAAAAUCUUUUUUAUGGGAUGAAGUACCAUAAGAAUAAGGUCCGGCUAAAUACGUGCCAGCCGCCGCGGUAAUUC
rnacentral:rRNA from 1 species